rnacentral:misc_RNA from 1 species
UUUCCGUAGGUGAACCUGCGGAAGGAUCAUUACAGAGGUUUAUCCUUUAUUUGUGAAUUUUGUAUCUGGCAUUGUUAGUGUAGCCUGAGCUUGAACCAUUCUGUGGCGAUGGCAGCGACGGCGACCACUUCAAUGCCAAACUUUACACUAUAUACCGUCUGAAGAAAAGAAAUGAAAAACUUUCAACAAUGGAUCUCUUGGCUCUGGCAUCGAUGAAGAACGCAGC